AUAGCAGUGGCCCAAGUACCCAUGCUCAAACUCCAGUAUGUAAAUCACUAAGUACGGAAGAUAUAUUGGACUUCCUUGAACAUCAAGUUGACACAACUACAGAAUUUAAGUUGUGUGUGGACAGAGAAGACCUUCCAGACAGGGGCAUUCUGCAGUGGAAAAGAAAGAAAGCUGCAUCUCCUGCCAGUACUCUGAAGGUGGUGUAUAUAGGAGAGGCAGGUAUUGAUACAGGAGCCCUUAGGAAAGAGUUUUUAACUGAUAUGGUUUCAGGUAUUGAAAACAGAUUCUUCGGAAUAACAGAAUAACUUCUUCGCACAACACAACCUAGUUCUGUGAGCCGUAAGAAGAUCCCUGCAGC